GACGAACGCUGGCGGCGUGCCUAAUACAUGCAAGUCGAACGAAGCUUUUUUAACUGGUGCUUGCACCGACUUAAACAACUGAGUGGCGAACGGGUGAGUAACACGUGGGUAACCUGCCCCAAAGCGGGGGAUAACAUUUGGAAACAGAUGCUAAUACCGCAUAACCACAGAAACCACAUGGUUUCUGUGUCAAAGAUGGUUUCGGCUAUCACUUUGGGAUGGACCCGCGGCGUAUUAGCUAGUUGGUAAGGUAAUGGCUUACCAAGGCAAUGAUACGUAGCCGAACUGAGAGGUUGAUCGGCCACAUUGGGACUGAGACACGGCCCAAACUCCUACGGGAGGCAGCAGUAGGGAAUCUUCCACAAUGGGCGAAAGCCUGAUGGAGCAACGCCGCGUGGGUGAAGAAGGUCUUCGGAUCGUAAAACCCUGUUGUCAGAGAAGAAAGUGCAUGAGAGUAACUGUUCAUGUUUCGACGGUAUCUGACCAGAAAGCCACGGCUAACUACGUGCCAGCCGCCGCCGUAA
rnacentral:rRNA from 1 species